ACAUCAUCCACUGAUCCAUCGAAUGUUGUCUAAAUUCAUUAUUACAUUACAGAUCGCAAUACAGUAUUUUUCUAAUUUUAUCAUCCCUUAUGGAGUCUUUUCCAAAAAUUAGAAAGUUAACCUAAAAGAAAACUCAGAGAUGUAUGGCACUGUGACGCUCAGGUUCAUAAAUGGUCCUGCUUCUUUAUAGUCGUCACUGUUUGACACAUGGCUUAAUCCAUCCAGCCUGACAAUCACCCGCUGCAGUGGUCUCAAAUCUAUGAUUAGAAUAUCCUAUUAAAGUAAUGUGUAAAGGUAAACUUAUUUCAGACAGCAUUAUUUAAAUUACUAAACCUAAUUUACUAAUCACUAGUCUAAAAUCAUCUGUAAAAUAUUUUAUUAACCUUUAUAAUAGCUAUUUCCCUUAGGAUAUGACAAGCAUCUCCAAUCCCAUUAUGUAUAUUGUGAACUAAAGAACAGAAAACUUGAGCUAUUGUCUAUAUUUUUAGAGACCAGGUGUUAAAGGAGGAUUUAGAAGCA
rnacentral:lncRNA from 1 species